rnacentral:rRNA from 1 species
AUUGAACGCUGGCGGCAGGCCUAACACAUGCAAGUCGAGCGGAUGAAGGGAGCUUGCUCCUGGAUUCAGCGGCGGACGGGUGAGUAAUGCCUAGGAAUCUGCCUGGUAGUGGGGGAUAACGUCCGGAAACGGGCGCUAAUACCGCAUACGUCCUGAGGGAGAAAGUGGGGGAUCUUCGGACCUCACGCUAUCAGAUGAGCCUAGGUCGGAUUAGCUAGUUGGUGGGGUAAAGGCCUACCAAGGCGACGAUCCGUAACUGGUCUGAGAGGAUGAUCAGUCACACUGGAACUGAGACACGAUCCAGACUCCUACGGGAGGCAGCAGUGGGGAAUAUUGGACAAUGGGCGAAAGCCUGAUCCAGCCAUGCCGCGUGUGUGAAGAAGGUCUUCGGAUUGUAAAGCACUUUAAGUUGGGAGGAAGGGCAGUAAGUUAAUACCCUGCUGUUUUGACGUUACCAACAGAAUAAGCACCGGCUAACUUCGU